UGGGGGAUAUUGCACAAUGGGCGAAAGCCUGAUGCAGCGACGCCGCGUGGGGGAUGAAGGCCUUCGGGUUGUAAACUUCUUUUGCUCUGAACAAGGCGCACCAUGGGGUGUGUUGAGUGUAGGGGUUGAUUAGCGCCGGCUAACUACGUGCCAGCAGCCGCGGUAAUACGUAGGGCGCGAGCGUUGUCCAGAAUUAUUGGGCGUAAAGGGCUUGUAGGUGGCUGGUUGCGUCUGUCGUGAAAGCUCAUGGCUUAACUGUGGGUUUGCGGUGGGUACGGGCUGGCUUGAGUGCAGUAGGGGAGGCUGGAAUUCCUGGUGUAGCGGUGGAAUGCGCAGAUAUCAGGAGGAAUACCGGUGGCGAAGGCGGGUCUCUGGGCUGUUACUGACACUGAGGAGCGAAAGCAUGGGGAGCGAACAGG
rnacentral:rRNA from 1 species